rnacentral:rRNA from 1 species
AAGGUGUGGACGACGUCAAGUCAUCAUGGCCCUUAUGCCCAGGGCGACACACGUGCUACAAUGGCAUAUACAAUGAGACGCAAUACCGCGAGGUGGAGCAAAUCUAUAAAAUAUGUCCCAGUUCGGAUUGUUCUCUGCAACUCGAGAGCAUGAAGCCGGAAUCGCUAGUAAUCGUAGAUCAGCCAUGCUACGGUGAAUACGUUCCCGGGUCUUGUACUCACCGCCCGUCACACCAUGGGAGUUGAUUUCACUCGAAGCCGGAAUACUAAACUAGUUACCGUCCACAGUGGAAUCAGCGACUGGGGUGAAGUCGUAACAAGGUAACCGUAGGAGAACCUGCGGUUGGAUCACCUCCUUUCUAG